rnacentral:rRNA from 1 species
GAGUUUGAUCCUGGCUCAGGACGAACGCUGGCGGCGUGCUUAACACAUGCAAGUCGAGCGAUGAAGUUUCUUCGGAAACGGAUUAGCGGCGGACGGGUGAGUAACACGUGGGUAACCUGCCUCAUAGAGGGGAAUAGCCUUCCGAAAGGAAGAUUAAUACCGCAUAAGAUUGUGGUUUCGCAUGAAACAGCAAUUAAAGGAGUAAUCCGCUAUGAGAUGGACCCGCGUCGCAUUAGCUAGUUGGUAAGGUAACGGCUUACCAAGGCGACGAUGCGUAGCCGACCUGAGAGGGUGAUCGGCCACAUUGGGACUGAGACACGGCCCAGACUCCUACGGGAGGCAGCAGUGGGGAAUAUUGCACAAUGGGGGAAACCCUGAUGCAGCAACGCCGCGUGAGUGAUGACGGUCUUCGGAUUGUAAAGCUCUGUCUUCAGGGACGAUAAUGACGGUACCUGAGGAGGAAGCCACGGCUAACUACGUGCCAGCAGCCGCGGUAAUACGUAGGUGGCAAGCGUUGUCCGGAUUUACUGGGCGUAAAGGGAGCGUAGGUGGAUGUUUAAGUGGGAUGUGAAAUACUCGGGCUUAACCUGGGUGCUGCAUUCCAAACUGGAUAUCUAGAGUGCAGGAGAGGAAAGUAGAAUUCCUAGUGUAGCGGUGAAAUGCGUAGAGAUUAGGAAGAAUACCAGUGGCGAAGGCGACUUUCUGGACUGUAACUGACACUGAGGCUCGAAAGCGUGGGGAGCGAACAGGAUUAGAUACCCUGGUAGUCCACGCCGUANACGAUGAAUACUAGGUGUAGGGGCUGUCAUGGCCUCUGUGCCGUCGCAAACGCAAUAAGUAUCCCGCCUGGGGAGUACGGCCGCAANGUUGAAACUCAAAGGAAUUGACGGGGGCCCGCAC